CAGACAAACACGGUCAGGUCGUGUCCCAGAAGCCCCUGGUGUUUCAGCUCAACGCUGACGGCAAUGCUGUCAAUACGUGACAGAAUUCCAGUUCUCGGUGGCUCAAGGUUCCUGCCGUAUUGAUUUUGUUGGCACAUGCUCCCGUCCCGCAUGUUACACAACUCUUCAUUUGGCACAAGUGUGCAUGAAGAACAUGCAUUUACAGAAUCACACUGGAAGCUUUAUUUCUACAGCACUUCAUACAGCACAGAUCUACAGAAGACAAUAUUCAGAUCAAGUUUUGUUCUCAUCUGAUAGUCACUGAAGUCUGAUCAAUAAUAUUACUGAAUAUCAAGUGUGUUUUAAACCCCUUGACAGGGAGUGAAUGAUGUUGUAAACAACAAUAGCACUUCAGAGAAGACCUUCAUACAAGUUGAACUUUGCAUGUCUGUGGAAAAACUAGAGAUCAGGUGUUUUCAAUCUCAUCUGAAAAGAGCAGUGCCGGAAAUAACGCAUUAGUAACAUGCACUACAUAAUCAGGUGACUUUUUGAUGUAACGAGUAAAGUAACGCAUAACAGGUAACAUGCAUUACGUAAUCACAUUACUUUUCUGAUGUAACGAGUAAUGCAUUACAAGUAACGUGCAUUACGUUAUCAGAUUACUUUUUUCAUGUAACAAGUAACACAUUGGUAACGUGAAUUACAUGUAUUACAUGUAACGUUCAUUAUGUAACCAGAUUACUAUUUUCAUGUAACGAGUAAAGUAACGCAUUAGUAACGUGCAUUACAUAAUCAGGUGACUUUUUUGAUGUAACAAGUAAAGUAACCUGUUACAUGUAACGUUCAUUAUGUAAUCAGAUAACUUUUAGAUGUAACGCGUAAAGUAACGCAUUACAGGUAACAUGCAUUACGUAAUCACAUUACUUUUUUCAUGUAACGAGUAAAGUAACGCAUUAGUAACGUGCAUUACAUAAUCAGGUGACUUUUUUGAUGUAACAAGUAAAGUAAUGUGUUACAUGUAACGUUCAUUAUGUAACCAGAUUACUAUUUUCAUGUAACGAGUAAAGUAACGCAUUAGUAAUGUGCAUUACAUAAUCAUGUGACUUUUUUGAUGUAACAAGUAAAGUAACCUGUUACAUGUAACGUUCAUUAUGUAACCAGAUUACUUUUUUCAUGUAACGAGUAAAGUAACGCAUUAGUAACGUGCAUUACAUAAUCAGGUGACUUUUUUGAUGUAACAAGUAAAGUAACCUGUUACAUGUAACGUUCAUUAUGUAAUCAGAUUACUUUUUUCAUGUAACGAGUAAAGUAACGCAUUACAGGUAACGUGCAUUACGUAAUCACAUUACUUUUCUGCUGUAACGAGUAAUGCAUUACAAUUAACGUGCAUUUCGUAAUGAGAUUACUUUUUUGAUGUAACAAGUAACGUUACAUGAAACAUGCAUUAUGUAAUCAGAUUACUUUUUUGAUGUAACUGCAAAUUACAUUCUUAUAACACAAAUACAUUUAUUUACAGCCAAAAAAAGUAUUGUCAAGAACAGUCACAGUAAUAGUAUGAAUACAGCUAGUGAUGCAUGAUGUCCAAUUUAGUGGACAUAUGAUUAAUCAGAAAUUCCUCCCAAUCUAAAAUCAAUACUUGGAAAAUUUAACAAUGAUAUGACUCCUUAGAUGUUACUUGAUCUUGGUUUGGGGAAAAAAAUCCACAUACAACAGCUUGCCACUUGGUGGCAGUGUAUUGGAUGAUGCACUAGGGUCCACUGUAGUGUUUUACAGUAUGUGCAACUAUGCCAUCAGAACCCAUGCAUAUGCAAGAAAAUGCUUUUUGAAUAGCUGUCCACCGUAGUGACCUCUAUGCAUGAAAGGGUUAAUUGAUGGUCCCCUUUAGACAAUGUUGAUUACAAGUAACAUUGUACCUAAUGUUUUGAGAACAUUAUUAAAAUCCAGAUAACUUUCAAUGAACGUUCUAGUAACAUUACAGUUCAUAACCUUGCCAGAACAUUCCGUUCGCUGUGAGGAACCGCAGACAUGCGGCAACAGGAACGACAGCAGCCUCUAGAAGAGCUGAAGUUCAGACAUGCCGAGACAAACUCGAUCGAGCCGUCCAUCAUUCACACUUCUAUCAAUGCAUCACAUCAAUAAGCAGAGGAGUUCUGCAGAACUGAAGACAAAACACACAUGUGGGUAAACGUUUUUUAUUUACUUCAAUGUUAAGACAAAAAUUCAUUUCCAGGUAAGAUUCAGGUCCAUUUUAAAUAAAAGCUCCAGUUUACAAAUGCAGAGACCACAGAUAUCAAUUACUGACAGCAAGAUUCAUAAAAAUAAACUCUUCCAUGCAAACGUUCAUCUGGAAAUUGAAUAAAAAGCAUGUGGAGAUUGGAGGCCUGGCGAUUAUCAAUAA